rnacentral:rRNA from 1 species
AACGAACGCUGGCGGCAGGCUUAACACAUGCAAGUCGAACGGGCGUAGCAAUACGUCAGUGGCAGACGGGUGAGUAACACGUGGGAAUAUCCCUUUCAGUUCGGAAUAACUCAGGGAAACUUGAGCUAAUACCGGAUACGUCCUUCGGGAGAAAGAUUUAUCGCUGAGAGAUUAGCCCGCGUCUGAUUAGCUAGUUGGUGAGGUAAUGGCUCACCAAGGCGACGAUCAGUAGCUGGUCUGAGAGGAUGAUCAGCCACACUGGGACUGAGACACGGCCCAGACUCCUACGGGAGGCAGCAGUGGGUAAUAUUGGACAAUGGGGGAAACCCUGAUCCAGCCAUGCCGCGUGAGUGAUGAAGGCCUUAGGGUUGUAAAGCUCUUUUGCCAGGGAAGAUAAUGACUGUACCUGGAGAAUAAGCCCCGGCUAACUUCGUGCCAGCAGCCGCAGUAA